rnacentral:rRNA from 1 species
CCCUUAGAUGUCCUGGGCUGCACGCGCGCUACACUGAUGUGUCCAGUAAGCACCUAACCUCUUCCGAAAGGAACGGGUAACCUUUGCAAAGCACAUCGUGAUGGGGAUAGAUUAUUGCAAUUAUUAGUCUUGAACGAGGAAUUCCUAGUAAGCACAAGUCAUCAGCUUGUGUUGAUUACAUCCCUGCCCUUUGUACACACCGCCCGUCGCUCCUACCGAUUGAAUGUUCCGGUGAGCUCUUCGGACUGCGCGGUCUGCAGUUUCUGCGUUCCGUGCGGAAAGUUGCGCAAACCUUAACAUUUAGAGGAAGGAGAAGUCGUAACA